CCCCUGAAUUUAAGCAUAU
rnacentral:rRNA from 1 species